rnacentral:rRNA from 1 species
ACUCAAAUGAAUUGACGGGGGCCCGCACAAGCAGCGGAGCGUGUGGUUUAAUUCGAUGCAACGCGCAGAACCUUACCUAGGCUUGACAUGCAUGUGGUACCGAAGUGAAAGCUGAGGGACCCGCAAGGGAGCAUGCACAGAUGCUGCAUGGCUGUCGUCAGCUCGUGCCGUGAGGUGUUGGGUUAAGUCCCGCAACGAGCGCAACCCCCGCCGUCAGUUACCUUCUCUGGCGGGACCGCCGGUACAAACCGGAGGAAGGUGGGGAUGACGUCAAGUCAGCACGGCUCUUACGUCUAGGGCUACACACACGCUACAAUGGCCGGUACAACGGGCAGCGAUGGGGCGACCCGGAGCGAAUCCCACCAAAGCCGGUCUCAGUUCGGAUUGCAGGCUGCAACUCGCCUGCAUGAAGUCGGAGUUGCUAGUAACCGCUGGUCAGCACACAGCGGUGAAUACGUUCCCGGGCCUUGUACACACCGCCCGU